rnacentral:snRNA from 1 species
UUACUUACCUGGCAGGGGAGAUAGCAUGAUCACGAAGUUGGUUUUCCCAGGGCGAGGUUUAUCCAUUGCACUUCAGAUGUGCUGACCCCUGCGAUUUCCUCAAAUGUGGGAAACUCGACUGCAUAAUUUGUGGUAGUGGGGGACUGCAUUCGCAUUCUCCCC